rnacentral:rRNA from 1 species
GACGAACGCUGGCGGCGUGCUUAACACAUGCAAGUCGAACGGAAAGGCCCUGCUUUUGUGGGGUGCUCGAGUGGCGAACGGGUGAGUAACACGUGAGUAACCUGCCCUUGACUUUGGGAUAACUUCAGGAAACUGGGGCUAAUACCGGAUAGGAGCUCCUGCUGCAUGGUGGGGGUUGGAAAGUUUCGGCGGUUGGGGAUGGACUCGCGGCUUAUCAGCUUGUUGGUGGGGUAGUGGCUUACCAAGGCUUUGACGGGUAGCCGGCCUGAGAGGGUGACCGGCCACAUUGGGACGGGGAUACGGCCCAGCCUCCCCGGGGAGGGAGCAGGGGGGAAUUUUGCACAAUGGGCGGAAGCCUGAUGCAGCAACGCCGCGGGCGGGAUGACGGCCUUCGGGUUGUAAACCGCUUUCGCCUGGGACGAAGCGGGAGUGGCGGUAAUGGGAAAAAAAGCCCCGGCUAACUCCGU